rnacentral:rRNA from 1 species
GUGACGCCUGCCCAGUGAAAUUCUUAAACGGCCGCGGUAUCCUAACCGUGCAAAGGUAGCAUAAUAACUUGUCUCUUAAAUAGAGACUGGUAUGAACGGCUAAAUGAGGACACAACUGUCUCCUACGGCCGGUCAUUGAACCUGAUCUCUCAGUUCAAAAGCUGAGAUAAAACCAUAAGACGAGAAGACCCUGCGGAGCUUUAAAAAUACCACUUACGACCUAAAGUGACCAUUUUUAAGUUGGGGCGACUACGGAAACAAAAAAAACUUCCACGACCAGAGCUAACCCCUCAAAAAAGACCAACACACCAACUCCACCUUGACCCAGUUUAAACCUGACCAACGAACCAAGUUACCCCAGGGAUAACAGCGCCAUCCUCUUAAAGAGCCCUUAUCGCCAAGAGGGUUUACGACCUCGAUGUUGGAUCAGGACCCCCCAGUGGCGCAGCCGCUACCAAAGGUUCGUUUGUUCAACGAUUAAUGUCCUACGUGAUCUGAGUUCAGACCGGA